rnacentral:rRNA from 1 species
GACGAACGCUGGCGGCGUGCUUAACACAUGCAAGUCGAACGGAAAGGCCCUGCUUUUGUGGGGUGCUCGAGUGGCGAACGGGUGAGUAACACGUGAGUAACCUGCCCUUGACUUUGGGAUAACUUCAGGAAACUGGGGCUGAUACCGGAUAGGAGCUCCUGCUGCAUGGUGGGGGUUGGAAAGUUUCGGCGGUUGGGGAUGGACUCGCGGCUUAUCAGCUUGUUGGUGGGGUAGUGGCUUACCAAGGCUUUGACGGGUAGCCGGCCUGAGAGGGUGACCGGCCACAUUGGGACUGAGAUACGGCCCAGACUCCUACGGGAGGCAGCAGUGGGGAAUAUUGCACAAUGGGCGGAAGCCUGAUGCAGCAACGCCGCGUGCGGGAUGACGGCCUUCGGGUUGUAAACCGCUUUCGCCUGUGACGAAGCGUGAGUGACGGUAAGGGGUAAAGAAGCACCGGCUAACUACGUGC